AUACUGAGUGGCAAACGGGUGAGUAUAAUGUGGGAAUCUGCCUUUUGGUUCGGAAUAACACGAGGAAACUUGUGCUAAUACCGGAUAAGCCCUUACGGGGAAAGUUUUAAUGCCAAAAGAUGAGCCCGCACUUGAUUAGCUAGUUGGUAAGGUAAUGGCUUACCAAGGCAACGAUCAAUAGCUGUUCUUAGAGGAAGACCAGCCACAUUGGGACUGAGACACGGCCCAAACUCCUACGGGAGGCAGCAGUGGGGAAUCUUGCAUAAUGGGGGAAACCCUGAUGCAGCGAUGCCGCGUGAGUGAAGAAGGCCCUUGGGUUGUAAAACUCUUUCGUCGGGGAAGAAAAUGACUGUACCCGAAUAAGAAGGUCCGGCUAACUUCGUGCCAGCAGCCGCGGUAAUACGAAGGGACCUAGCGUAGUUCGGAAUUACUGGGCUUAAAGAGUUCGUAGGUGGUUAAAAAAGUUGAUGGUGAAAUCCCAAGGCUCAACCUUGGAACUGCCAUCAAAACUUUUUAGCUAGAGUGUGAUAGAGGAAAGUGGAAUUUCUAGUGUAGAGGUGAAAUUCGUAGAUAUUAGAAAGAACAUCAAAAGCGAAGGCAACUUUCUGGAUCAUUACUGACACUGAGGAACGAAAGCAUGGGUAGCGAAGAGGAUUAGAUACCCUCGUAGUCCAUGCCGUAAACGAUGUGUGCUAGACGUUGGAAACUUAGUUUUCAGUGUCGCAGCGAAAGCAUUAAGCACACCGCCUGGGGAGUACGACCGCAAGGUUAAAACUCAAAUGAAUUGACGGGGACCCGCACAAGUAGUGGAGCA
rnacentral:rRNA from 1 species